GAUGAACGCUGGCGGCGUGCUUAACACAUGCAAGUCGAGCGAACGGACGAGAAGCUUGUUUCUUUGUUGUUAGCGGAGGACGUGUGAGUAACACGUGGAUAACCUACCUAUAAGUCGGGGAUAACUUCGGGAAACCGGAGCUAAUAGCGUAUAAUAUUUUGAUCCGUAUUGUUCAAAAGUGAAAGUCGGCCUUGCUGUCACUUAUAGAUGGAUCCGCGCUGCAUUAGCUAGUUGGUAAGGUAACGGCUUACUAGGGCAACGAUGCGUAGCCGACCUGUGAGGGGGGUCGGCCACACUGGAAGUGGACCACGGUCCAGGCUCCUACGAGAGGCAGCAGUAGGGUAUCGUACGCAGUAGGCGAGAGCAUGACAGAGUGACGCCGCGUGAGUGAUAGCGGUCUUCGGAUCGUAAAACUCUGUUAUUAGUGAAGAACAUAUGUGUAAGUAACUGUGCAGUUCUUGACGGUACCGAGUAAGAAAGCCCCGGCUAACUACGUG
rnacentral:rRNA from 1 species